CCUGGUGUCUAUGGCGCGGUGGAACCACUCUGAAUCCUUCCCGAACUCAGUUGUGAAACGCUGCUGCGGCGACGAUAGUUGUCGGGUUGCCGACCGUCAAAAUAGCUCGAUGCCAGGU
rfam:Hapalosiphon sp. MRB220 contig_28, whole genome shotgun sequence.